UGAGCUUCCAGUAGGUGGCGCUGGUGUGGCCCGUCAUUGGCCGACUGAACAUUUGAACGGGAAGGUCGAAGGUAUUGUGUUGCGUUUCGUGGAGCUGAGGAGGUUUCUGGACACGUGCAUGGCAGUAAAUGGUGUGUCCCAGACUUCAAUUAUCGCCAGGACUGAAGAAGAGGAGGCACAAGGCGGCUGUGGGCGUCGCGAGGCAACACUGGCACACUGAUACGGUGUGAGGUGUGAAAGUACGCGUGUGAAGUGACGAGCUAUCAUGAAACUGCCCCUGAAAAUUGCACAUUGAACACGUCAUAUUCCAGAACUCGCCACGACUUGCAAGAAAAUACUGAAUAAAAAAAAAAAAAAAAAAAAACAGCAACACGAGCAGACUUCAAUAACUGAUACAAGGACACCAGACUGAAAUGGUUGGACAUUCUCCACCCACUUAUUCCACCUGGUCCUUCCCUCCACUGGUCUGUGCUCCUCCCGUGGGACCCUGAGUGGGACAAAAGCCUGCCUCGCUUGAGUCUGUAAGAUGGCACCAACACCACCGCCUCCACCGCCGCCGCCGCUGCCAUCAUCUGCACCACAUUCAGGUUAGACGCGGGACAGGACGAGAGGAGUGCCUUGGGCGGUGAGUACCCUGGAGAUUUUAAAAGAUGCUUUGUUUCGAUUACCAGAGGGGACAAAUAUGAACCUUAAGUACGCCGCGUGAAGAGAGCAAAGCGUACCUUGAGUAUAAAUGUGAGUACAGCUCUUACUCUUGCGGUUUAUUCAAGUAGCUCGUUACGUUGCCUCGUGAUGGGUAGCCAGACGCCUCAUCGUCGCGUGGUUCAUCCCGAAUUGGUCGUUUGCCAUUUUUAUCGUUACUGUUGCUCAUUAUAUCGCGCCAUCGUAGUGUAGUCGUAAAGAAUAUGCGAAGGCGGAUGUAACAUCUCGUCUCGUUAUUACGAAUUGCCUCUUCACGUUAGAGUUUAGAAUAUGCUGCGAGCUGAUACAUAUUUUUUGGCAGUGCUUCCAGAUUAGAGCUUUGGAGAUUUUUGCUUUCGUUAUUAUACUCUUACAUUAUAACUUUAUUGUAGUUAACACUUUCCAUCUUUCCCUGAGAUAUACAAUGAUUUAGUGGACUUUAUGCCUUGUACGCAAUAUUUACAUGCAUCUUGUAGGAAAAAGGGGUCUAAAAAGAAUAUAUUUUCAACUCUAUCCAGUGUUAUGUUUAAACGUGCGCCUGCAGAAAAAAAGGGGUUCCUGACUGGUUUCAGGUGAAUAUGUGUGUGGACGAUGUGUGAAAUUGUAGAGAAAGGGUUACAGGAUCUAGAUCUCUUAAUUUUUGUUGUUGUUUGCGAUUCUACUUCUGGCACAUUCAAGAUUGCAGUACACAUAGUUUUGUUAUCUUUGUUUUAAAUUCGUUUUGUUUUUCUAUUCAAAAAGGAUGAGACUAUUAUCUUUUGACGUGUGCUAGUUUAUUUUUGGUGCUAUUUAGUUUUAAAAAAUGAGUUACAAUUAGCUUUUGUGUGUAUAUUUUUGCAGUUUUCAUGUCAGAAUAUAGAAUGAUUUAUUUUAUUAUUCUCGGGUCUUUGCUGGAGUUGAUAUUGUGAUAGUGCUGAGUAUGAAUCUUUUUUUUUUUUUAUUUCUUUGUCAGUCUGUCCUCUGUAAAUUUAUUUUUCAUGCUGCUUUAAAUUCAGAGUAUGCAGCUUUUAUUUUACUGUUACUCUUUGCCGUAUGAAUAUAGUUUUGGAAACAUUUUGAGUAACAAGUAGAAUUUCUUUUAUUUUUCCGUUUUAUUCUGUGAUUCAUAGCAUAUUCCAGAUAGUGUUCUCAAGAAAGACUAUAUAUGUUACUCCUUUUACCGUUCUUGAAUAUAAUUUUAACAGUUGAGUUUAGAAUAUGAAACUUUCUUAUUACGAUCCUUUCUGCCGUCCGCGAAUAUAGUUUUAGUAAUGGGUGUGCAUUAUUAUUAUUAUUUUUUUUUCGUGUGUGUGUGUUCCUUUCAGCCCUCUCUGUAUAUGUAUUCGACGUUUCCAGGUAAGGACAAGAGUAUUUUCAUCUUGCUCAUUGUUGUCUAUGAUUGAUGUAUAUUUUGGUAAUUGAUGUGGUCCAAUAGAAAAGUUGUCUUUGUCAGCCCGCGAGACUUGUUAGCGGUGAGCAUGUAGUGAAUAUGACCAUUGAUAUUGCAGCGCAUUGUAAGAAAUUAAUGAAAAUGGACAAUUAAUGGAUGAAUCAGUCAAUGAAUGAGUGAGUCGGUGGUGAAUGUUAGAUGCGUCUCGGGCUGGGAGUUAAAGGUGAAGGAGUACAGCGAGAGAAGAUUGAAAUGCUGUUUCUUUAUUUGUGAUCAGAGGAACUGCUUUCAAGAGAGGAAGUUUUCUUUUUUUUCUCAUCAUACAGAAGCUUUUUCAGGGAAAAUUUGUUCUUUAAUUCUCAGAUGUUUAAUUUUCCUUUAAUGUCAAAUGAAAGUUUUUAUUUCCAUUUGUAGUAUAUUAUUUCAUUCCAAGUGCUGUAUUCUUCAUUCAACUUAAUAUUUCCCUCAGUCUUCAAACAGUUUUUAGUUUAAAAUUUUCUGCGAUAGUUUUUCAGAAUUUAUUAACUUUCCAGGUAGAAACGUUUCCAUUAAUAUACAUUUUUAGUCUUAAUUCUUCUGUCUACAAAAAUAUUUUCAUUUGAUCUACACUUUAAAAGUAUUUUAGCUUAUACCCUUCCACUACCAAGGCGUUUUCUCUUAUGAUGUAAAUUUAGCGUUUGAAAGACACUUGUGACUUGAGAGUAUUAUGAGUGCAGUAGUUCAAAUAUUGUAGUGUAUGUACUUAAAUGUUUUGUUUACUCAUAUUGUGCAGUAUCCCUCAAAUUAACUGAUACUAGUAAGUGUUUAAUUGUUAUUAUCAGUCAAAUGGUUAUUUCUUUAAUCUCCAUUGCUAUAUUCUCUUAAUCUACUAACCGCUGAUUUUUUUUCCUUUAAUUUGAAUAAGUCAAUAUUUUUUUUAUUUAAUUUUCCCAUCACAUUCAAAUAUUCUCAUUUAGUUCUCAGAAAAAAGAAAAAUAAUUACGAACUUCAUAUUCGUCACUCCUUCACGUGACAGCCUUUCUGAGUUUGUUUUUACGCGGGAAAGUUUGAAAUUAAGACGGAUGUUCUGGGAAAUCAAAGUUCUUAAAUAUUUUAGUUUGCGUUAAAAAGGGCGAGAAGUGGAGGUGUGACAUCCUGCCUCGCUGGCAGGACGUGUCGCUCCUCACGGGAUUAUGUAGAUCAGUAGCCUUUCGUGUCUAAGCGUGCAGAGGAUGAGUGGGGAAGGUCUUAUGUGAUUUUUAUCAACCGAUUUCAUUCUGUGUAUUCUGGGAGCAAGAUGAGUCUGUGGGGUGUCUGUUUGAAAAAAUAAAUUAAAUAAAAAAAAUUGUUCCUUAUUUCUUUAAUAUCAUGUAUUUUUGGGGUCAUGUAUUUUUUUUUCUUG